AGCAGCCGCGGUAAUUCCAGCUCCAAUAGCGUAUAUUAAAGUUGUUGCAGUUAAAAAGCUCGUAGUUGAAUUUCGGGGUUAGCAGGUCGGUCGUGCCAUCGGUAUGAACUGGUCUCGCUGAUCCCUCCCUCUUGACGAACUGUGAUGCCAUUAAUUUGGUGUCGCAGGGAAUCAGGACUGUUACUUUGAAAAAAUUAGAGUGUUUAAAAGCAGGCUCACGCUUGAAUACAUUAGCAUGGAAUAAUGAAAUAGGACGUUUGAUCCUAUUUUGUUGGCUUCUAGGAUUGACGUAAUGAUUAAUAGGGAUAGUUGGGGGCAUUAGUAUUCAAUUGUCAGAGGUGAAAUUCUUGGAUUUAUUGAAGACUAACUACUGCGAAAGCAUUUGCCAAGGAUGUUUUCAUUAAUCAAGAACAAAAGUUAGGGGAUCGAAGACGAUCAGAUACCGUCGUAGUCUUAACCAUAAACUAUGCCGACUAGGGAUCGGAUGAUGUUAAUUUUUUAAUUGACUCU
rnacentral:misc_RNA from 1 species